rnacentral:lncRNA from 1 species
GCCAAUGGUUGCGCAGGUGCAGCAGGUCCGCCCUGUCCCGUCGCGAGAGAGCGUGCGGGGGUCUGCAAAACUUCUGCCCUCGAAAAAGAACUUUGGAAGCGCAGGAGCUGGAAAAACAAGGACGGCCAUAAACUGACGAAUAGAGACUGAUGGCCCUGGAAUCAUGGUGACUGAAGCUUCAAGGAUUGCUAGAGGCCAUUGCGCUGGACCUCGCGACUGGCACUCUCCCUCCCUCCGCAAUAUUCCUGCCAGGUGCCAGGUGCUAGGUGCCAGGUGCUCUCACAGACUUUGGUGAACAUGGAGAAAGCACCACCUACAGACAUGGCCUGGCUGGUGUGAGAGCAGGACGCGGCUUCUUCAGAAGAGCCAAAGUCUGGCUACUGGGUGUGGGGAGAGCCCCUCCGAGGUGGGUUCAAGUCCCAUCUCUACCACUUGUUAUCUAUGUGACCUGUCAAAUAAAU